rnacentral:rRNA from 1 species
GACGAAGGUGGCAAGCGUUGUUCGGAAUUACUGGGCUUAAAGGGUGUGUAGGCGGAAAAGUAAGCGUCUUGUGAAAUCCCCCGGCUUAACCGGGGAAUUGCAGGGCGAACUGCUUUUCUUGAGGCAAGUAGGGGUGCAUGGAACUCUUGGUGGAGCGGUGGAAUGCGUAGAUAUCAAGAGGAACGCCAAAGGAGAAGUCAGUGCACUGGGCUUGAUCUGACGCUGAGACACGAAAGCGUGGGGAGCGAACAGGAUUAGAUACCCCAGUA